rnacentral:misc_RNA from 1 species
AACCUAGCACACCUGCGGUGUGUACCUGCGGAGGGAUCAUUAAAGAGUAAGGGUGCUCAGCGCCCGACCUCCAACCCUUUGUUGUUAAAACUACCUUGUUGCUUUGGCGGGACCGCUCGGUCUCGAGCCGCUGGGGAUUCGUCCCAGGCGAGCGCCCGCCAGAGUUAAACCAAACUCUUGUUAUUAAACCGGUCGUCUGAGUUAAAAUUUUGAAUAAAUCAAAACUUUUAACAAUGGAUC